CAAGCCCUGGACAGGACCAGCCAGCUAGAGACAAAUGUACCCAGAAUCCCCCGCCUUUUUAUCGGUGGAUUUCAGCCCUCAAAGCGUUCCGUGAGCCUCUGACCGCCCAAAUCCAUCACACAUGAGUUGGAAUGCCAGGGACCAUUCCCGGCCAAACGUUAGAUUACAGGAGUAAGAGAGAAGAGGAGGGACUGUCCGAGGUGCCUCGGCACUAUGGCUGCACAGCUGGAUCUCUGGACACGGAGCCCUGGACCGUUUCCACCCAGACACUCCCAUUCCAUCAAGUGGGGGUGUGGACGUUUAUGCAAUUCUGGAAGGUCUCCUGGUGGGGACCCCUGGGAAAGAGACUAAUAAGAAAGCAUCCAGUUUCUUCGGUCUCUGACGUUGUUGUCUGCACAAGAGAGUUAAGGCAGCCAUCUUGGGACCAUGAGGGAGCCAGUCUAAGAGGCAAAUCAACACAAUGAGAGGGUGUUGGAAAAAGACAAAAAGAACCUGGUCCUUGAUGUCACAGCCAGGCCUCUGAAUUAACCACCCCCAGGACUUCUUGUUACGUGAGCUAAUAAACGUUCCUUUUUGCUUA
rnacentral:lncRNA from 1 species